rnacentral:lncRNA from 12 species
ACCUGAGCCCAGGCCCAACCCAGCAGGCAUAUAUGUGCAGUAGGCCUCCUCUGCCUGCACUAUCAGGAGCCAGCCUGUGCUGGGGAGGCCUGAGGAGGACGUGGGGAUGUGUGCACCCUGAUGAGCCACAGCUUCAGGAAAUUGUGGGCUCGCAUCCACACUGAAAGGAGCCCCUGGGCCUCCUCAGGACCCACGGGGAGGCUUCAGGAAGAUGUGGGCCUGUAUCCACGCUGACAGGAGCCCCUGGGCCACCUCAGGACAUAAGUCGAGGCUUCUGGAAGAUGGGGGCCGCAUUCACGGUGACAGGAGCCCCGGCCUCCUCAGAACCCUCGGUGACACUUCGGGAGGACGUUGUGUCACUUCGACACAACAGGAUGCUGACUCCUGUUACCCCCGGUGUUGACUUGAGGAAAUAUGAGAUGCGUCCAUGCAGACAGAAGACCCCAGCCUUGUCAGGCCUGUGGUGAAGCCUAAGAAAAAUGUGGGUGCCACAUCCACACUGACAGGAGUCUCCAGCCUCCUCAGGACCCACUGUGAAGGUUUGGGAAGACUUGGGGCCACAUCUAUGCUGACAGGAGCCCCCAGCAUCCUCGGGUCUUAUGGUGAGGUUUGAAGAAAAUGUGGGGCCACCUCAACACUUAGAGGACCCCCGUCCUCCUCAGGCCCUGCACUUUGGCUUUGGGAAAUAUAGGGCUGCGUCUAUGCUGAUAGAAGCCCACAGCUCCUCAGGACGCACGGUGAGUUUUCUGGGGGAUGUGGGGCCAUGUCCAGGCUGAAAGGAGCCCCUGGCCACCUGAAGACCUGCUGUGAGGCUUCCAGAUGAUGUGAGGCAUAGUCCAUAGUAAGAGGAGACCCAGCGUCCUCAGGACCCGCUGACUAUGACUCAGGAAGACGUGGGGCCACGUCCGCACUCACAGGAGCCCUGCUUCCUCAGGACCCCCUGGAGGACUCUGGAGGCGCUGUUGGGGGUCACGUCCACAUCAGAAGGGACUCCUCAGAACCACAGGGAGCCCACAGCCCCCUCAGGACCCGCGGUGAGUUUUCUAGGGGAUGUGGGGCCAUUUCCAGGCUGACAGGAGCCCCCGGCUUACUGAGGACCUGCUGUGAGGCUUCCAGAGGAUGUGAGACAUAGUCCACAAUGACAGGAGACCCGGCGUCCUCAGGACCUGCUGACUAUGACUCAGGAACACGUUGGGCCAUGUCCACACUCACAGGAGCCCGGCUCGCUUGGACCCCCUGGAGGACUCUGGAGGAGCCAUUGGGGGCCACGUCUACAUCAGAAGGGACUCCUCAGAACCACAGGGUAAGUGAAAGGAUAGAAUGAAUGGUAGGGUUAGGGGAGGGGAGGCAGUUGGUGGUUAGCCUUAGGUUAUAUGUUAGGUGUUAGUGAUUAUGCUUAUGGUUACAGAUUAGAAGUUAGGUGAGGUAUAAGGGUAAUGGUCAUAGUUAACAGUUAGGAUGGGGGUUAGGG